rnacentral:rRNA from 1 species
GAUGAACGCUGGCGGCGUGCCUAAUACAUGCAAGUCGAGCGAACAGACGAGGAGCUUGCUCCUCUGACGUUAGCGGCGGACGGGUGAGUAACACGUGGAUAACCUACCUAUAAGACUGGGAUAACUUCGGGAAACCGGAGCUAAUACCGGAUAAUAUAUUGAACCGCAUGGUUCAAUAGUGAAAGACGGUUUUGCUGUCACUUAUAGAUGGAUCCGCGCCGCAUUAGCUAGUUGGUAAGGUAACGGCUUACCAAGGCAACGAUGCGUAGCCGACCUGAGAGGGUGAUCGGCCACACUGGAAGUGAGACACGGUACAGACUCCUACGGGAGGCAGCAGUAGGGAAUCUUACGCAAUGGGCGAAAGCCUGACGGAGCAACGCCGCGUGAGUGAUGAAGGUCUUCGGAUCGUAAAACUCUGUUAUUAGGGAAGAACAAAUGUGUAAGUAACUAUGAACGUCUUGACGGUACCUAAUCAGAAAGCCACGGCUAACUACGUG